GCCUCUCUGGUGGAAUGGUAGACACGAGAGAUUCAAAAUCUCUUGCUCGCAAGGGCGUCCCGGUUCGAGUCCGGGGAGAGGCA
rfam:Shimia sp. SK013 shim_contig000009, whole genome shotgun sequence.